ensembl:lncRNA
AUUUGUGCAUCUUGUGAUGAAAAGUUGUACUGGCAGGGUAUAUCUGUAAUGUGAAUAAAUGAAGCUUAAGAUGGACGAAAAAGAAAGAAAGAAAGUAAGAAAGAAAGAAAAAGUCUCCUUUUCUUUUGGCUUAAUCUCAACAUUGUUUUGUAUUUUUAAAUGGUGAUACUAUUAAGAUAUUAUUAAUUUUUAUUUUCUAAGAUAUCGGAAUAAAUGCCUAGAAAUGUUUCCAUUUGAUUUCAUUUGUUCCUUAACCAUUAUUCUCUUCCACAGAUGUCAUUCUGGUUCAUCUUUUUUUUUUUUCUUUGUAGCUACCCAUGAUUUCUCUUGUAAUUUUUCCAACAGCAAUUACUUGGCAGCUUUGUUUUGUUAGGAACGACAUAAAAACACCAACAACCCAACCACCACCCUUUGUUGUAUUUCAGGUACUGUGACAAACCAGUGAUCAACAUGGCGUAUCAAAGUAAAGUCAAUUGUCACUGCUUUGUCGGUCAAAGAAAUGACAAGAUUUGGCCAUUGCUGUCGUGGUGGACAUUGUAUCACUGUGUCGUAUUUACCUUUGUUCGUGUUUUUCUGUAUUUAUUUCUGCAUUUUGUGGUCUUUCAUUCCUUCUAUCCAAAAAAACAUGAAGGAAAAAAAAAAAAAAAAGGAAAAAAAGCCCAACCAGGUCCCAGUUGUUAUGAUGAGACGUCCAGAACAAUUUUUACAAGACAUGAUUGUAAAAAUACUUCAAAACACAGGAUUUUUUUUUUAAAUAUGUGCCUUAUAAUUUUCAACGUGGAUCAACUACACUGCAUCUGACACAAAGCUUUUUCUUCCAGAUACUGUAAUGCCUGACAAAAAGAGCUUACUGUGCUGUCUCUUAAAGUGGGAAGACCGUAUCUCUGCAUUAAGAAGAGUAGUUAGAACAACUGAUAUGAUUUAGAUCUUAUUUAGAAAGUUUUUUUUUGCCAUCAUGAGUCUGAUUUGAAGGCCUUUAUUCAGCUCCAUUAAACGAGGGGGGCACAGAGGGGGGAUAUAAUGAGACUGUUGUUUUGGGUUCAACUUAUUACCGCGAAUAUAUGCUUCGUUAUUAAUGGGGUUGACUUGUACUAUGUUCCAAAGAUGACAAAAAUAAAUGGAGUGCACUUAUGCUUUUAAGUCUGCACAAGCUGGUUCUGUCAUGCUGACAUCUAGUGGAAUGUGAUGGCCAUGGGCUCAAGCAAUAUCUUAAAAUAUGUAUUCGUUUUAAACAAUCGUCAUUCCUUUACAAUAAUUGGCCUGAACAUUUAAGCCAGAAAAAAGGCUGACUAUAUAAUUACAUGAAUUAUUCAAUGAAUGAGAAAUCCUUAAAGAACUGUAACAUUUUCUAGUUUCUAUGCGGGUAUGUUUAAUCAAUUUUAUGUUUUAAAUGUUAGCAUCUCUAUAUGAUCCUUCAUCUGCAUUGAGUAUGUUUUCUAGAGAAUAUAGUUUUUGUCUCCAGUGCUGCAAAUCUUGGACUGCUUUGAACAAUUUCAGCCAAACAUUGUGAUCCGGUGAACGACAGCUAUUUCAGCUGCAAACUGCAGCUGAGUGCGAGGUAUUCAGGUUAGGAAUUCGUCCAUAAUGGCUGGUGGAUUGUCCCAAAUGUACUUGCAGAACUGACAUUUGGUUUCUCAAGUGAAAUUUAAGUUUUCCUCAGGACUAAUGCUAGAAAGAAUACGUGCAUGUGUGUGUGAGUUCUUGUACGCUUUUAAUGUAAAGGUUCUUGGACAGCACUAGAAAUCCAUGUACAAACAGGUCACCAG